GUGUCACAGCCGCGGUAAUACGGAGGGUGCGAGCGUUAAUCGGAAUUACUGGGCGUAAAGCGCAUGCAGGUGGUUUGUUAAGUCAGAUGUGAAAGCCCGGGGCUCAACCUCGGAAUAGCAUUUGAAACUGGCAGACUAGAGUACUGUAGAGGGGGGUAGAAUUUCAGGUGUAGCGGUGAAAUGCGUAGAGAUCUGAAGGAAUACCGGUGGCGAAGGCGGCCCCCUGGACAGAUACUGACACUCAGAUGCGAAAGCGUGGGGAGCAAACAGGAUUAGAUACCCCAGUAGUCC
rnacentral:rRNA from 1 species